CCUGAACGCUGGCGGCGUGGCUAAGACAUGCAAGUCGUACGGGUGUAGCAAUACACCAGUGGCGGACGGGUGAGUAAUGAAUCGCUAAUGUACCCUCCUGUCUGGGAUAGCCGGCCGAAAGGCCGGGUAAUACCAGAUGACAUAACCGAAUCGCAUGAUUUGGUUCUCAAAGGGAAACCGCAGAGGAGCAGGCGAUUUCGUAUCAGCUAGUUGGUGAGGUAACGGCUCACCAAGGCGACGACGCGUAGCUGGUCUGAGAGGACGGCCAGCCACAUUGGGACUGAGACACU
rnacentral:rRNA from 1 species